UGAUAAUGCCGAGGGGGUCCACCUGUUCUCAUACCGAACACAGAAGUUAAGCUCCUCAGGGCCGAUAGUACUUGCAUGGAGACGUGCCGGGAGGGUAGGACGUUGCCG
rnacentral:rRNA from 1 species